rnacentral:rRNA from 1 species
UACGGAAGGUCCGGGCGUUAUCCGGAUUUAUUGGGUUUAAAGGGAGCGCAGGCCGUCGGUUAAGCGUGUUGUGAAAUGCAGAUGCCCAACAUCUGACUUGCAGCGCGAACUGGCUGACUUGAGUACGCACGACGUUGGCGGAAUUUGCCGUGUAGCGGUGAAAUGCUUAGAUAUCACGAAGAACCCCGAUUGCGAAGGCAGCUUGCGGGAGCGCAUCUGACGCUGAAGCUCGAAAGUGCGGGAAUCAAACAGG